GACGAACGCUGGCGGCGUGCUUAACACAUGCAAGUCGAACGGAAAGGCCCUGCUUUUGUGGGGUGCUCGAGUGGCGGACGGGUGAGUAACACGUGAGUAACCUGCCCUUGACUUUGGGAUAACUUCAGGAAACUGGGGCUAAUACCGGAUAGGAGCUCCUGCUGCAUGGUGGGGGUUGGAAAGUUUCGGCGGUUGGGGAUGGACUCGCGGCUUAUCAGCUUGUUGGUGGGGUAGUGGCUUACCAAGGCUUUGACGGGUAGCCGGCCUGAGAGGGUGACCGGCCACAUUGAGACUGAGAUACGGCCCAGACUCCUACGGGAGGCAGCAGUGGGGAAUAUUGCACAAUGGGCGGAAGCCUGAUGCAGCAACGCCGCGUGCGGGAUGACGGCCUUCGGGUUGUAAACCGCUUUCGCCUGUGACGAAGCGUGAGUGACGGUAAUGGGUAAAGAAGCACCGGCUAACUACGUG
rnacentral:rRNA from 1 species